AUUGCUUCUCAGCCUUUUGGCUAAGAUCAAAUGUAGCAUCUGUUCUUAUCAGUUUAAUAUCUGAUAUAUCUUCUAUCUGAGAACAAUAUAUUAUAUGGAUUUUUGGAGCUCUGAGUUGGAAUAUGAGCUUGCUCUGUAUGCUCCAUGUAUUGACCUGGUAUUGCAGUACCUCUAGGAAUGGUGCAUUCCCU